UACGUAGGGGGCAAGCGUUGUCCGGAAUUAUUGGGCGUAAAGAGCGCGUAGGCGGUCUGAUAAGUCGGUUGUGAAAGUCGGGGGCUCAACCCUCGGAUGCCGGUGGAUACUGUCGGGCUCGAGUCCGGAAGAGGCGAGUGGAAUUCCUGGUGUAGCGGUGAAAUGCGCAGAUAUCAGGAGGAACACCGAUGGCGAAGGCAGCUCGCUGGGACGUGACUGACGCUAAGACGCGAAAGCGUGGGGAGCGAACAGG
rnacentral:rRNA from 1 species